rnacentral:rRNA from 1 species
GUUUUUAGGGGUGGCCUCUCGAGGGAAUAGGUGUGUCGUGACGAGCAGUAGUUAGGUGCGGGGGUAGUCACGACGAGAGAGGAGAAGAGGCGGGGCGUGGUCAAGGCCGGCACGGUGUGGGGGGUAGAGAGAAGGGAGGAGGACAGGAGGCGUGCGGGAUCCCUGGCACCGCGGUCUAGCUCCCUCGGGCCGUUGCCUCCAGCGGCGGAGAGGCAGAGCUAGGCAGCCGACGACCUAGGCU